AUAAUUUAAUACCAGAAGGACUGAAGCAGAAAUACGCACACGCUAUCGAAGGGAAGGCGAGGAGGAGGGCAGCAGAAACACCAUUCAAUCUGCUAUUGUUCCCACCUCGCCGGCCGCCGCCGCCGCCGCCACCCUAACUGUGCCGAGCUCUCGCCAGAAUCACAUACAUGAGCUCCACGGCUGCUGCGGCGCCACCAGCCAGGCGCACGCGCAGCCGCCCGCCGUCUGCCUCGUCCCGCAGGUCCGAUGACCCCUCCUCCGCCGUCAACGCCAACGCCAACGGAAAUGGGAAGACCUCCCCGAAGCUCGCCUCUCCCAAACAUCUUCCGGGGGAGAGGACGGUGAAGAAGCUAAGGCUGUCCAAGGCGCUGACGAUACCUGAGGGCACGACGGUCUACGACGCGUCCCGGCGAAUGGCGGCGAGGCGGGUCGACGCGGUGCUGCUCACCGAUGCCCAAGGCCUCCUAUCUGGCAUAGUCACCGAUAAGGAUAUAUCCACACGAGUGAUUGCAGAGGGGCUGCGGGUGGAGCAAACCAUCAUGUCCAAGAUCAUGACCCGAAAUCCUACUUAUGUCACUGCUGACUCACUUGCUAUUGAGGCAUUGCAAAAGAUGGUUCAAGGUAAAUUUAGACACCUCCCAGUUGUGGAAAAUGGUGAGGUUAUGGCUAUGCUAGACAUUGCAAAAUGCCUUUAUGAUGCUAUAGCAAGAUUGGAAAAGGCAGCUGAACAAGGGAGUGCGAUAGCAGCUGCAGUAGAGGGGGUUGAGCGUCAAUUGGGAGGCAACUUUACAGCUCCUUAUGCUUUCAUAGAAACUCUAAGAGAGCGGAUGUUCAAACCUUCUCUGUCAACCAUUGUCACGGAGGGCACAAAGGUAGCAAUUGUUUCCCCUUCAGAUCCUGUGUAUGUGGCGACACAGAAAAUGCGUGAGUUUCGAGUUAAUUCAGUGAUUGUCACUACAGGGAAUACAGUGCAGGGGAUCUUUACCUCAAAAGAUGUUCUUAUGCGUGUUGUGUCACAGAAUCUUUCCCCAGAAUUGACCUUAGUAGAAAAGGUGAUGACUGCAAACCCUGAUUGUGCUACGUUAGACACGACAAUUCUUGAUGCGCUACAUAUAAUGCAUGAUGGCAAAUUCUUGCACAUUCCUGUUCUGGACAGAGAGGGCCAAAUUGCUGCUUGCCUUGAUGUCCUGCAACUUACCCAUGCAGCCAUUCAAUUGGUUGAAGGGGGCAAUGGGACUGCUAAUGACAUGGCAAACUCAGUAAUGCAGAGGUUCUGGGACUCUGCGCUUGCUUUAGAACCUCCAGAUGACGAACUUGAUAGCCGUAGCGAAGCAUCCUUACUUAUGGCUUCAGAAGCUGGGGAUGGGCGGAGUAGUAUAUAUCCCCCUAUCAUUGGUAAUUCGUUUCCCUUUAAGCUUCAAGACCGGAAGGGACGUGUGCAUAGAUUCACUUGUGGCUCAGAGAGCUUAAACGAGCUUGUGUCCUCUGUAAGGCAAAGAUUGAGAAUCAUUGAUGAAAAGGACAUCAUUCAAAUCUUGUACGAAGAUGAUGAGGGUGACCGGGUGAUGCUGACAACGGAUACUGAUCUUGCUGGCGCCGUGCUCCAUGCCAAAUCAUCCGGUUUGAAGGUUCUCAAGUUGCAUAUCGUGGACGAGUCUAAUCCAAACACAGAGGUGGUAAAACCAUUACAGGAGCUAGCACCUCGCAGCAGGAAUGGUGUGUCUUCUGUUAAAAUUGGGCUCAUGGCUGGUGCUGUUGCUCUCAGUGGCGCGGCAGUCAUGGUGUACUUGAAACGAUCCAGGGUGUGAUUAUCAGAUGAAUCAAUACUUUCCUAAACCCGCCUCUCAACAGCUGACAUCCAUCCACUUUAGAAUCUAUUGUUAUCUUGGUAUCAUUGCAUACUAAGAAAAGAAAGAAUGAGGCACAUGAGGUCACAUGUUUCCAGUCUGUCAGGUAAUUGAAAGGUCGAACAGCAGGCGGUAGGAGCUGCCUAAUAUUUGUCCCUCCACAUUUUGCACAAACAUCAGUGAUUUCAUGGCUACAACGAAACGUAUAAACAUAAGCGUUUAUGCUAGUUCAUACUUUUGCACUUUUUUUGUAGAUAAACAGAGGAUGUAAAAUGAUUUUGGAGCAUAACAUUAAGUGGAUUAUUCUCUGCCAGUGUCCUACAAAAAUCAAAUGUAAACAAUUGGGUCAUGCACACUGUCAAACAUACUACUCAGGCUGACAAAUAACGCCCAUUAUUAUUUGAUCCUGUGCCCUCUCAAGAUCUUAUCUGCCCAGUAGAGUAGGUGGGCCCUAGUUAUAUCCCUUUGUAUAUGUGAUGGAUUGAUA
rnacentral:rRNA from 1 species